rnacentral:rRNA from 1 species
GACGAACGCUGGCGGCGUGCCUAAUACAUGCAAGUCGAACGCAUUUUCUUUCACCGUAGCUUGCUACACCGAAAGAAAAUGAGUGGCGAACGGGUGAGUAACACGUGGGUAACCUGCCCAUCAGCGGGGGAUAACACUUGGAAACAGGUGCUAAUACCGCAUAAUUCCAUUUACCGCAUGGUAGAUGGGUGAAAGGCGCUUUUGCGUCACUGAUGGAUGGACCCGCGGUGCAUUAGCUAGUUGGUGGGGUAACGGCCUACCAAGGCUGCGAUGCAUAGCCGACCUGAGAGGGUGAUCGGCCACACUGGGACUGAGACACGGCCCAGACUCCUACGGGAGGCAGCAGUAGGGAAUCUUCGGCAAUGGACGCAAGUCUGGCCGAGCAACGCCGCGGGAGUGAAGAAGGUUUUCGGAUCGUAAAACUCUGUUGUUAGAGAAGAACAAGGAUGAGAGUGGAAAGUUCAUCCCUUGACGGUAUCUAACCAGAAAGCCACGGCUAACUACGUG